rnacentral:tRNA from 1 species
GCGUUUGUAGCUCAGUUGGUUAGAGCACCACCUUGACAUGGUGGGGGUCGGUGGUUCGAGUCCAUUCAGACGCACCA